rnacentral:lncRNA from 1 species
AGGAAUUUGGUCUUGAUUUCAAGGAGGCAUUUAAGACAAUCACCUAACACUUUGGAGUACCUAAAUGGAUGGUGGAAUCUAUGAGAAAACCGCAGGAUCCAAGUGAAUAUAGGUGGGCAAGAGGAAGAGAAAAGAAUCAAGACACCACGGUGUUACUGCUGGCAGCAUUUAUGGACCCCAGCCUGUGAUGUGUCAAAUGCUUGUGACUCCCCUCAGACCCUCUUGACAUUUGUCUGCACACCCAGGUGGGUGCGUUUGCAUUCCUCCAGGUGGCAGUGGCUGCCCUGGAGUCACUUCUGUGGGAAGGAGGCUUACCCUGGAAUAGCUGAUGUACAGUUCUGCAGGAUCAAUGCUGUGGAGACUGCAUAAAUUGGUAAGUAGUUAAGCAGCCACCUUUGCCUCAGCUGACA